rnacentral:rRNA from 1 species
AGUGAACGCUGGCGGUAGGCCUAACGCAUGCAAGUCGAACGGCAGCACAGUAAGAGCUUGCUCUUACGGGUGGCGAGUGGCGGACGGGUGAGGAAUACAUCGGAAUCUACUUUUUCGUGGGGGAUAACGUAGGGAAACUUACGCUAAUACCGCAUACGACCUACGGGUGAAAGCAGGGGAUCUUCGGACCUUGCGCGAUUGAAUGAGCCGAUGUCGGAUUAGCUAGUUGGCGGGGUAAAGGUCCACCAAGGCGACGAUCCGUAGCUGGUCUGAGAGGAUGAUCAGCCACACUGGAACUGAGACACGGUCCAGACUCCUACGGGAGGCAGCAGUGGGGAAUAUUGGACAAUGGGCGCAAGCCUGAUCCAGCCAUACCGCGUGGGUGAAGAAGGCCUUCGGGUUGUAAAGCCCUUUUGUUGGGAAAGAAAAGCAGCAGGUUAAUACCCCGCUGUUCUGACGGUACCCAAAGAAUAAGCACCGGCUAACUUCGUG